rnacentral:rRNA from 1 species
ACCCGUUCCCAUGCCGAACACGGAAGUUAAGCUCUUCAGCGCCGAUGGUAGUUGGGGGUUUCCCCCUGUGAGAGUAGGACGUUGCCAGGU